CCCUUAGAUGUUCUGGGCCGCACGCGCGCUACACUGUUCGACGCAGCGAGUCUUAACCUUGACCGAAAGGUUUGGGUAAUCUUCAGCAAAGUCGAACGUGAUGGGGAUCGAUCAUUGCAAUUAUUGAUCGUGAACCAGGAAUUCCUAGUAAGUGCAAGUCAUCAGCUUGCGCUGAUUACGUCCCUGCCCUUUGUACACACCGCCCGUCGCUACUACCGAUUGAAUGGUUUAGUGAGAUCUCUGGAUUGACGCUGGCUAGGGGGCGACCCUUGGCCAGACUGUUGAGAAACUGCUCAAACUUGAUCAUUUAGAGGAAGUAAAAGUCGUAACA
rnacentral:rRNA from 1 species